rnacentral:lncRNA from 10 species
ACGGUCUGCCUGUUGCCCCAGUUCACUGCCACACCCUCACCCCACACAUACACAACAGACCUCUCCUUUAGUUUUCAAGCCACUAGGCAAUUGAAAUGUUUGUGUGAAUUUUCACAUAAAGUCUAGUCUUUGUGUCAAAUGUGCAAUAAGCCUCAACAUUUGCAUAGAGCAAACAAGGAAGUCUUGUUAGGAAAUUUGUUCCUUAGGAGCUUAUGUCUUAAAUUGGACUGGUGCCUUUUGUUGUCACAGUUGUUUUUAUAAUGACAUGCACAUAGGUUUGCCUUUCUGAAUUCUUAUGUUGAAUCUACUGUUGGUUGGCACCUGCCACUAGCAUAAAUUUCUACUCUUUCAAUCAGUGGGACAAAUUCACAUGCCAGUCGAGGCUGAUUCACCUGUUUAGGGCUGUGAGUGAUUUGAAGAGGACUACCUUCUCAGCACUUCUUUGGCCCAGAGUCACAGGAACCCUCUUCUCAAGAAUGUGGUCCUGGGACCUCUGAGAGGGUCUGGAAUUAGGGUUCAGGUACCAUCCAUCUGUUACGUGCUUUGAAGAUGCCACUCCAUCUGUGGGAUUCAAUUUACAUAAACUGAAGACUAUUCUUCUGAGUUGAAGUGAGGAGAGGCAUCAAUCACACUGGAAAAUUAUUUGAUCUCCUGGAAGCAAAAAGUCCACCAUGAAGUUGUUCUUGCCAUGGACUUCUAGAGGAGCUGACUGUCCUUUGGGAAGCUACAAAUACAGCCUUAAAAUCUGUUAGCAGGGAAGAGAGGCUUUUUCUGAGUGAUCAGGAAUGAAGAAGCAGAGAUCAUGCAAGGUGUUUCCAUCCAAAAGUAGGCAUCUCAUGUCAUCUGCUCUGGCCAGUAUUUAACCUUGAGAAAAGAAGAAGUGUAGAGAUGAUGUACUUGCCUGAGGGAUGGAUUAAAAAGUCUUUGGUCUUCUCUGAACGGUACUACUGAAUUUAUCCUCAUCACCGUCAUCAUUGUCAUUGUCAUCAUCAUCAUGAAAACAGGAGCAGAGAGAGGAAUGCUAUGAAGCUAUUAUUGUUCAAAAAAGACCUGGAGACAGCGGAUUGAAAAUCUCACAGCCAAAACGCAAUCUGGUGACUACCUUCUCUGGCUCUCAUUUGCUGACUUUGGAAGUUUGAAAAGGAACUGCGGAAUUUGUUUUCACUCAGCGUGGUACACUGGAUGAGCUGUUGCUGUCUCUAGUUUGUCCUCUUAAAUGUCACCUCCAGAAGCUGAUUAGAAAGGCUGAAAUGACCACCAUCCAAAAGACCCAGGGGCAUAUUUCAUGGUUUUAGUCUAUUUGAAAGGUUGUUAGAGUAGGUUAGGAAAGACCAAGGCCUCUAGCUCAAGGUGGCCAGCUCAUGCUGUGUAUGGACUGUACACUAUCAUGUUGUAGGCCACUAAUUUCUCAUGCCAAUCCCUCCAAGUGCCACUGGUUUCAUAUUUCUAGGCCUUUACAUGGCCCAUUCCUUCUGUUUGGAAAGUCCUCGAUGCUCAUUUUUACUUUGGCCCACCAAGCCCUGAGUGCACCGAUCUUUGCUUCCCUCCCCAGCAGCAUAUCACAACCUCUCUCCUUUUCUAAUUCACCUUGUUUGACACCAAGGUCUUUCUGCAGUUUUUAAAACAGACUUAGCCAUUUUCUGCUUCAGGGCCUUUGCACACCCACGUCCCUCUGUCUGGAACUCUCGUACCUGGCUUUUCACGUGGUUCAUUCCUUCUUAUUGUUCAGAAACAAUCUAAUAACCUCCUCAGCAAGGACUUUCUUGAUCUCUAACGGGCCCCCUUCUUGUUCUCCCUAUCUUAGUAUCCUUCCUAGCCCUUCACAUUUUGUAAAUAUUUGUUUACCUAUUUAUUGCCUGACUUCUAACUAACUAUAAGGGCCAGUGAGACAGGAACUGUCUUAGUCUGUUUUGUGUUGCUAUAAAAGAACACCACUGAGUGGGUAAUUUAUAAAGAAAAGAAAUGCAUUUCUUACAAUUCUGGUGGAUGAGAAGUCCAAGGUUGAGGAGUCUACAUCUGGUGAGGAUUUUCAUGCUGCGUGAUCCCAUGGCAGAAGGCAGAAGGGUAAGAGAGCAAGCAUGUGUGCACGUGAGAGGGACUAAACUUCCUUUUAGAACAAACCCACCCUGCACAAUAAUGACAUUAAUCCAUGCAUGAGGUGGAACCCUCAUGACCUAAUCACUUCUUAAAGGGCCUACCUCUCAACACUGUUGCAUUGAAAAUUAAGUUUCCAACACCUGAACUUUGGGGGUCACAAUCAAACCAUAGCAGGGACUUUUUCUGUUUCCACCAACUCUGUACUUAGAAUGCCUUAUCUCAGUAUAUGGUGCAGAGGGUACUCUUUGAAUAUUUAUUGAAUAUACGGAAGAGUGGCUAAUUUCUACUCAUCUUUUUAAAUUCCACCCUGGAGUCACUUGCCUCUUUCUAUAAAUCCUUCCCAACUUCCUCUCCCACAACUCACUUCCCGGAUCUAGGUUGGUGUCUGCCUGGGUGCUCUACUGUGUCCUGGGCCUACCUCCACAUGCUGCAUCAUGGUGCCUGUUGGCAGUCCCUUUCUUCAAGAAGAUGGUGAGCUUUGUAAAGGCAAGAUUGUAACUUUGGUUUCUAUAUUGCAGGAUCCAGAAAAAUACCUGAUAUAUAGAGAUUGCUUUCCUUGACCAAUGUUGGUAAUAUGAAUGACUGGAUGAUUAAAUAAAUGACCGUUAGGUGACAUUUCAGAGAUGUAUAGAAAAUUUGGUGUGGGGGCUACUACCAAGUUCAAAAAGAGACAGGGAUAAGUUUCAGUUCUUAUGUUUCCUGGUCCUUCAUUUUAUCUGAUGAUAUUCCAGUAAUUUAGACAGGAAGUAAUUUGGUAAAAGCCUUAAAGAUAAUUUAAACCAAGGAGUCCUGACUCUUUUAUGACUGAAAAGACCCUAUGUUUACGGGAUAUCAUGAUGUUCAAUUUCCAAACGUUGAAACACUUGAGUGGGAAUUGAGUUUCAGACACCUCUUUGGGCCUCAGUUUUUUCAUCUGUAAUCAGAAGGAUGGAUAAGAUAAUCUCUAAAGUAUGUUCCAGCUCUAACAUUUUGUUAUUAAAAAUAAAAAUCAAGGCAACUAACAUUAACCUUCCAAUGCAUUGAAAAAUUCCCAGUGACUUUAGAGCUCACUAGAGAUGCUCUAGGGAAGAAGAGAAUCCUGGCUAGGAACCUCAGCUUUGAGCAUCUCAGGUCUGCUGCUCUCCCUCAAGUUCAGAGUCACCUCCUUUCCCACAUGAAGUGCGUCUUGGUUCAAGAGAUUAUGGGGGGAAAGCAGAAUGUGAGACAAAGUGUAUUAGGAGCCAAAGAGAGAUGCUCAGGACAUGACUGUAACUCAUUGUUCCAGGGAGGAGUGAUGCUAAGGGGGCAAGAGGCAGGCAUGGCUGCUUCAGAGAGCAUGAGAGGGCUCAGAAGGAGAGAGAGAACAAAGAUGGUGGAGAAAUUGUUAUUAAAGUUCACAUGAGUUGAGAGGAAGAAACAUUGAGACAAAGGAAGAAGAGGAUAAGAAUAAAAUGUAGCAGAAAAGUUACAAGUCCAGUAGUCAAACUUUGUAUUUAGCUUAGCUUGGCCACUAAUAAUUGUGUGAACUUAAGAAAAUCUCUUGACAUCUCUGGUCCUUGAUAUCUGAAUCUGUAAAAUUGGGACAAAUAACACCCUUCCCACAACACAGACUAUUUUUCAAAUAGAAAUAAACAUAUGGAUGUGAAACUGCUUGAAAAGAAUUUUUUUAAAUAUAAUAAAUGAAACAACUAGACAGAAGAUAAGGAAAUAGGGGACUUAAACGACACAAUAAAUCAACUAGGUUUAACAUACAUGUAUAGAACACUCUAGUAAACAACAAUAGCAUUCACAUUCUUCUCAAGAACACAUGGGACAUUUUCCAAGAUAGACCAUAUGUUAGGCAGCAAACUAAUGCUCAGUAGAUUUAAGAAGAUAGAUAUUGUACAAAGUAUAUUCUCCAACCACACAGGGAUGAAGUUAGAAAUUGAUAACAGAAGUAAAACUGAAAAAUUUACAAAUUUAUAGAAAUUAAACAACACAACCUUUAACAACCAGUGGAUCAAAGAAGAAAUCAAGAGGGAAAUUAAAAAUUACUUGGAGAUGAAUGAAAAUGAAAAUAUAACAUACCAAAACUUAUGAAUGCAGCAAAAGUAAUAGUAAGGGGAAAAUUUAUAGUAUAAUUUAUUACUUUAUUUUUUAAUUUAAUUUAAUUUUUUUUUUUUGAGACUGAGUCUUGCUCUCUGUCAUCCAGGCUGGAGUGCAGUGGCAUGAUCUUGGUUCACUACAAUCUCCUCCUCCCAGAUUAAAGCAGUUCUCAUGCUUCAGCCUCAUGCUUCAGCCUCCAAGUAGCUAGAACUACAGGCAUGUACCACUACGCCCAAUUAAUUUUUGUAUUUUUAGUAGAGAUGGGGUUUCACCAUAUUGGCCAGGCUGGUCUUGAACUCUUGACCUCAAGUGAUCCUCCCACCUCAGCCUUCUAAAGUGCUGGGAUUACAAGUGUGAGCCACUGCAACUGGCCUAAUUUCCUUCUUUAAAAAACAAGAAAGAUCUCAAAUCAAUAGCGUAACAUACAACUUAAUGAACUAAAAAAAAAAAAAAUGGAAAAACAAUAAAAAAAUUAAUGAAACCAAAAGUUGAUUCUUUAAAAACAGCAAUAAAAUUGACAAACCUUUAGCUAUAUGGACUAAGAAAAAAUUACUAAAACCAGAAAUGAAUGUGUGGGCAUUACUACCAAUUCUACAGAAAUAAAAACAAUUAAAAGAGAGAACUAUGAAGAAUUACACACCACCAAACUGGAUAACCUAGAUGAAAUGGACAAUUUUCUAGAAGCACAGAAACCUACUGAGACUAAAUCAUAAAGAAAUAUAAAGUCUAAAUAGACCUAUAACGAGUAAGGAGAUUGAAUCAGUAUUCAAAAAUCUCCCAACAAAGAAAAGCACUAGACCUGAUGGAAUCACUGGUGAGUUCAACCAAACAUUUAAAGAAGAACUAAUAUCCAACGCUUCUCAAACUGUUCAAAAACUGAAGAAAAGACAACACGUCCUAACUCAUUCUAUGAGGCCAGCAUUACCCCAAUACCAAAGCUAGGUAAAGGCACUACAAGAAAAGAAAAUUACAAAUCAAUAUUUCUUAUAAACAUUGAUACAAAAAUUACCAAAAAAAAUACUAGCAAACUGAAUUCAUCAGCAUAUUAACAUGAUUAUUUAUUAUGACCAAGGGGGAUUUAUUUUUGGAAUGCAAGGAUGGUUCAACAUACAGAAUUGAUCAGUGUAAUAUACCACAUCAAAAGAAUGAAUGAAAAAAAAGAUUAUAUUAUUGAUGCAGAAAAAGCAUUUGACAAAAUUCAACACUCUCAUGAUAAAAAACACUCAACAAACUAGGAGCAGAAGUAAACUACCUCAGCAUAAUAAAAGCCAUGUGAAAGAAACCCACAGUAAACAUCAUACUUCAUGGUGAAAGACAGAAAGCUUUUCUCUAAGAUCAAGAAAAAGUCAAGGAUGUUUGCUUUUACCACUUUUAUUCAACAUAGUACUGGAAGUUCUAGCCACAGCAAUUAGGCAAGAAAGAAAUAAAAGACAUCCAAAUUGGAAAACAAAAUGUAAAACUAUUUCUGUUUGCAGAUGAUAUGAACUUGUAUGUAGAAAACACUAAAGAUCCCACAAAAAUUGUUAAAAUUAAAUGAGUUCAACAAAGUAACCAGCUAAAAAGUCAACACAGAAAAAUCAGUUGCAUUUCUAUACACUAACAAUGAACAACCUAAAAAGGGAAUUAUGAAAAAAAUUUCAUUGACUAUAGCAGCAAAAAGAAUAAAAUACUUAGUAAUUAAUUUAACCAAAGAGGUGAAAGACUCAUAUGAUUAAAACUAUAAAACAUUGCUGAGAAAAUUAAAGAAGACAUAAAUAAGUGGAAAUACAUUUCAUGUUAUUGAAUUGGAAGACUUAAUAUUGUUAAGAUGGCAAUACUACCAAAAGCAAUCUACAAAUUCAAUGCAAUCACUUUCAAAAUCCAAAAACGUUUUUUGUAGAAAUAGAAGAGCCUAUCCUAAAAUUCACAUGGAGUUUUAAGGGAUCCUGAAUAGUCAGAAUAAUCUUGAAAAAGAACAAAUCUAGAGGACUCAUAUUUCCUGAUUUCAAAAUUUACCACAAAUCUGCAGUAAUCAAAACAGUGUGGUACUGGCAUAAAGACAGACAUACAGAUCAAUGAAAUAGAAUCGUGAGCCCAGAAGUCAGUCCUCACAUAUAUGGUCAAGUGAUUUUUGACAAGGGUGACAGGAUCAUUCCAUGAAAAAGGACAGUAUUUUCAACAAAUGAUGUGGGAAAAACUGGAUAUCCACAUGCAAAAUAAUGAGGUUGAAUCCUUACCUAACACUAUAUACAAAAAUUAACUCAGAAUAGAUCAAAGAUCUUAAUAUAAGACCUAAAACUAUGAAACUCUUAUAAGAAAACAUAGGGCAAAUCCUUCCUGACUUUGGGUUUGGCACUGAAUUCUUGGAUAUGACACCAAAACACAGGCAAUAGAAGAAAAAAUUAGACAAUUGGACCUUACGAAAAUUUAAAAAUUUUGUACAUCAGAAGAUGCUAUCAACUUAGUAGAAAUGUGGUCCACAGAAUGGGAAAAAUAUUAGCGAAUAGUAUACCUGUAGAGAUUGUAUCCAGACUAUAUAGAACACUCCUAAAACUCAAUGAAAAAGCAAAUAACCAAAUUCAAAAAUGGGCAAAAGACUUUAAUAGACAUUUCUCCAAAGAAGAUAUACAAAUGGCCAAUAAGCAUAUGAAAAGAUUUUUAACAUCACUAAUCAUUAGAUAAAUGCAAAUCAACACCAUAAUAAAAUACCACCUCACCUCCUUUAGGGUGGCUACUGUUUAAAAAAAAAUCACAGAAAAUAACGUGUAUUGGUGAGAAUGUGAAGAAAUUAGAACUCUUGUGCACUGUUGUUGGGAAUGUAAAAUAGUACAGCCACUGUGCAAAACAGCAUGGCAGGUUUCCAAAAAAUUAAAAACAGAAUUUUUAUAUUACUCAGCAAUUCCAGUUCUGGAGAUAUACCCCAAAUAACUGAAAGCACGGUCUGGAAGAGAUAUUUGUACACCCGUGUUUUUGGCAGCACUAUUCACAAUAGCUAAAAUGUGGGAUCAACACAAGAGUCCAUUGAUAGAUGAAUGGAUAAGCAAAUGGUGGUAUACAAAUACAAUGGAAUAUUACUCAGCCUUAUAAAGGAAGGAGAUUCUGACAUAUGCCACAACAUGCAUGAAACUUGAGAACAUUAUGCCAAGUGAAAUAAGCAGCCACACAAAGAUAAAUACUGUAUGAUUCCACUUAUAUGAGGUAGUUAAAGUAGUCAAAAAUCAUAGACACAGGAAGUAGAAUGGUGUUUGAUGUGGACUAGGGUCGGGGGAAUGGGGCGUUAUUGUUUAAUGGAUACAGAGUUUUAGUUUUACAAGAUGUAAGAGUUAUAGAGAUGAAUGGUGGUGAUGGUUGCACAACAUUAUGAAUGUAUUCAAUAUCACUGAACUGUACAAUUAAAAAUGGUUAUGAUGGGAAAUGUUAUAUGUAUUUCAUCAUAAAAAUGUUAUGUGUAUUUAAUCAGAUAACAAUUGUAAAAAAAGUUUACUAUGUCAAUUAAUAAGUCAACAAGUUUGCAAAAAACUACUUAAGAGAGUAAAUGGUUUCCAAGAGCUCUCAAGUAUUUCAGAAAGGUACCUUUAGAUUUUGAUGGUAGAGUCACUAACUGAUUAAUAAUGUUGAUUUUUGUGCUAAUUUAAAAUUGUUCUAAAUGCUAUGUGAUGUCCUACAUUAUGUUUCAGAACAGAAAACUGAAAUGUGAAUAAAGUGUCAAGUUUAGUUAAUAGUAUUGUACUACUAGUACUAAUCAUAAUGCUGGCUUCUUAGUUUUAGCAAAUGUACCAUGGUAAUGUAGGAUGUUAACAUUUAGAAAAUCUGGAUGAAGGGUAAAAAAAAAAUGAAUAAAAGCAGAAAUGAUUGGGUCAACAGGAUUAAGAGCAGAAAGAUUUAUGGAAUAAUACAGCAAAAAAAACCUACCAAUUAAAGACAUGCUACCAGGAAUUUAUAAAUCCAAGGAAAUGGAUCAAAGAGGCCAGAUAACUGUUUUUCUCCCCAAAGGCUUGGUCAUAUUUUCCCAAUUGUUUAAAAGAGAAAAAUUAAUAAAUGUUAUCUUUAUUUUGCCCAAUGGUAACUUACAGGAACUGGAAGGGUUGGGCCAGGACAUUGGGUUGAUGGAUCAAAAUAUGCUUUGAUGGAGCUAAAUCCCAGGUCUCUCGAAAAAAGAGCAAUUUUGGAUCUGAAAGGCAGCUUUGAUGCCUUUGAAUUCCUUGCAGAUUGUGCCUUUUAGUACUCUGUACAACACCAGCUGCAUGUGG